GUACAACUCUUAGCGGUGGAUCACUCGGCUCGUGAGUCGAUGAAGAACGCACCCGGCUGCAAAAACUAAUGUGAAUUG
rnacentral:rRNA from 1 species